GGCGGUAUGACCGAGUGGUUAUGGUGCUGCGUUUAGGAACUACCCAAAUUCAAAAUUUAGGUAUGUAUACUUUACCGCAGUGGAGCAAUCCGCGUGGGUUCGAAUCCCACUGCCGUCA